ACGUCACGUUCCCACAAUGCACGCGCCCCAUCAGCUCCAGCGCCGCUGUGUUUAGAGGGACAGAAACAGCAGGCCCGAAAAAUACACACAUUAUUGAACAAUAACUAAAUGAUCCACUGCGAAUAGUUUUUGAGAAUCCAUCGAGAUAUGGCUGGGAAACGAAUGUUUUAUUUGCACCCUUGCGAGAUGUAGAAUGGAGGAAUGCAUGUGAACUGCAACUUUAGCGGGGAUCAAAAGUUUCUGAAGACUGAACAUGCAAAAAAACAAUCUUCACUCCGAAGAAAAAUCAGCUGUUGGAGCUUCUUCUCAGAUGUACAGUGACAUACUCCCUGAGAACUACCCAUAUAUGUGAGAAAAUGUUUCAUGGCAAAGACCAGCUAAACAGCCACCUGCAAAACCAUGACCCCAACAAGCAGGAACUGCGGUGCGAGGAAUGCGGAAAGCAUUACAACACUCGCCUGGGUCUUAGACGCCACGUGGCCACGCAUGCCACCUCCGCCAGCGGUGACCUUACCUGUAAGGUCUGUCGUCAGGCGUUCGAGAGCAUGCCGGCGCUACUCGAGCACUUGAGUACACACACCGGCCGGCCACCUCCGGGGACUGUGGUACGAGAAAGGAAGCAUCAGUGUGAACGGUGCGGCCGCCGCUUCUUCACUCGCAAGGAUGUGAGGCGCCACGCAGUGGUGCACACCGGCAGACGGGACUUCCUGUGCCCGCGUUGCGCCCAACGCUUCGGCCGUCGCGACCACCUCACCCGACACCUGAAGAAAAGCCACGCGCAAGAUUUGGAGACCCUUCCUCCGAUGCCCAUUAAAGAGGAGCCCAGUCCUACCGUGUGCUCUAUUGGAUCUCCGAAAGAUGCCACAGAGGCGUUUUCUAUGCCCAUGUUCAACCCUCAAGCCCUUCCGGGCACAUCUACCUCAGGGGUCAAUCAUCACCAUCACACGAUGGUGUCUGGCCCCCUUUCCAGCCCAAUGGGUGUGGGCUGCUACCUUGAGCCAAACAAGCCUCCUCCGCAGCAUUACCAGCAGGCUUCCAGAUAUCAGCCGAGUUCCACUACCUCAUAUCUGAAAGCGGAGAUGGAGAGCUUCCUGACUGAACUCCAGUGCGGGCCAAUGCCACCGCAGGCCGCUGUAGCGACUGCCGUCUCCCGGCCUGGCGACCUUUUCACUGACAGUCUGGGAGGUCAGAGUGCCCAUUUCACUCUCAGGAACUCGGCGUUCACCUCAGCCGAGCCGCCUACCACCUCCGCCAACAUGGACCUCUCGCACCUGUUGGGCUUCCUGCCAUUUGGCCUGCCUCCCUACAGCACUACCUUGGGAUACUCGACCACCACCAAUGCCGUGUCCCCAAGCCCUACCUCUCAGCUCUCUGGGCCGCUUGCCUCAUUUCAGCCACAGUCACUGCAUGAGCCUCAGGCAUCAGGGCACUUAAACCAGUUCUCUGGUUUCUCUCCGACUCUACCUCGAUUCCAUCAGGCCUUCCAGCAAUGAUGUCGCCCAUGUCCACUAUGACCUGCCAGUCAAACGUGACAGUUCUGUUGCGUCAUUGCCAAGGAGCUUAUAGGUAAUGAACUGGAGAUGGUGAAGUUUGUUGGGUGCGAAAUGGAUCCUGUAGAAUUAUAUGAAAGGAUCACUAGGAUAGAUGGAGUUUUGCUUUGUUUUGAAUAGUUAAAAAACUUUGUGGUUUUUCCUAGAGGGUCUUCAGAGUAACUGUUUUGUAGUGAUAAAUGAACAUAAAAUUCAUUAAAAAAAAAAAAAAAAACCCUGAAAAGUUAGCUAAAGAAAUACCUCAAUAUUUUUGUCAAGAAGGAAAAUAAUGCUAUUACAGUGUUCUCCGUUGUAUAAUGAAGCACUUUUUUAUCAACGGCACUUCUAUGACUUAAGGUGCGGUCACAUUUAUUGUUCUGUGAAUUUUCGUCUGCAAAAUCCAGUUAUUUCAAUAGGAAUCCACGUGGGUACUUUUGCAUGCGGGUGAAAGAUUUCCCUGUGCAAAUUUCACAACCGAGUCAUAUGGCCAUAUAAAUUUAACGCAUUGACCAACAAAAAUGUGUUUGGUUUGAAAUUGACUUCUGUGUGCGCUGUGCUUCAUACAUCUACACGAUUGACCUUUUUUGUCCAUGAAAUUUCGCAGAAAAUUGGCUAAUGUGACCGCACCAUAAAAGUCAAGUUGAACUGUGUUCUUAGAUGUACCUCUCAGCUCACAGUCACACAACACAAAAAAACCUACCUCUCUAAGCUGAACUCUUGUCACGAAAAGGAUUCAACCAUUUGACAAGAAAUGAAGCAAACGUUAUCUCAUUUGAUUUUCUUUUUCUUUUUGAAUGCUCAAUGGUUUUAGUUAUGACAUUUUUAGAGUCAGGUGAUUAAUUAGCAUUUAAUUAAUUAGCUUGUAUUGAUUUUAGCCUUUAGGUAAAAGUAUUUAGGCGCUGUUGUGUUCACAUCCUUAAUGCUAAUGAAAGGAAUCACAGUUAUUGUGGAGACUCUUCUCCUGUAAACCCCCAUCUCUCUCUGUUCAUUCCAGAGUAUUUUGUGAAUGAAAUGCAGAAUAAAACUAUGAUCCCUCUGGAAUUGAAAAUCAAUGAAAAGUGAACAUUUGUUUAAAAUUAAGUAGCCCAUUCUGACACAUUCCUAAUAUGGGAACUAAGUAAAUUAUAACUGAAAUUUUUUGUUUAGUAAUAAACAAGAAUUGAUCAUAUUUGCGCCCUGAAUAUUCAUGUAAAAAAAUGGUUAUACUAGUUUUACACAAUACGUAGUUCUCACACUACAAAGUUUCCCUCAAUGUUUUGCCUGGAUUCAGAAGUUUCAGACAAAAUAAUCUUAGCACAUGCCCAGUUAUUGCUGAAAAGCACUUCAUGUAUCUCUCCAAGCUAAACCAGGAGCACUGUCAGAAAAGAAAAUGUUUUGUCAUGUAAAUUUGAAUGGUAUUUUAGCACUGCUUUGCUGUCUGUACUUUUGACUCAGUGUUACAUGCACCAGUGGCCUAUAAGGUAACUGUGAUGGCAUAUGUUGUCAACUCCAUUUUGUUUAGGCCAGCUGAAGGUGUGAAGUCAUUUCAUGAGUUUUUAUGUUAUUUAGAAACCAUCAUGGGCAUCUCCUUCUUUGGCUGAACUGAAAUGAAAUUGACCUCAACUCAACUGUGAUGUUUAGACUCCGACUGAUCUACCUCAGUGAGAUGCACACUGUGCACAGCUGUACUGUAUCUUUAGUAAGAAAUGUAAAGUUUCAAUGGCUGUUUAGCUGGAGUAAACAGGUGUUUUACAUCUUUAAAAUUCCAAGCAUUGGCAUUUUUGGGUUCCAAGGACUGUUUUCAUAACCAUUAUGAAAGCAAAAGUGGGUGAGUGAGACAUUAAGGUGUA